UAAUGUCUUCGUCGAGCAAGGUUUAUAUAGGGCACUCGUCAGCCCAUGGGCUGGCAUUGAAUGGGCAAAGGUCAACUCUUUUAAAACUUAUUUCCUUCCAAGGCCCCCCUAAAUCUGUAGGAUUGCAUUGAUUGAAAUAUUUUGACAUGCUUGAUUCUUCCUUGCUUUGGAACACUCGGAGUUACUAUUAAAAAUCCCUUGAUUUCUUUCCUUGUGAGGUCUCGAUCACGUGCACCAUAAUCUUCCAAAAAUCCUGGGCUCGAAACGGUGUCUUGGACUUAGACCUUUGGUUUCUUGGCAUGACAUGAGGGUGCCCCUUCA
rnacentral:lncRNA from 1 species